rnacentral:rRNA from 1 species
UCGAUAACGAACGAGACCUCGGCCCUUAAAUAGCCCGGUCCGCGUUUGCGGGCCGCUGGCUUCUUAGGGGGACUAUCGGCUCAAGCCGAUGGAAGUGCGCGGCAAUAACAGGUCUGUGAUGCCCUUAGAUGUUCUGGGCCGCACGCGCGCUACACUGAUCAAGUCAACGAGUUUACAACCUUGGCCGGAAGGUCUGGGUAAUCUUUUGAAACUUGAUCGUGCUGGGGAUAGUCCAUUGCAAUUAUUGGACUUCAACGAGGAAUUCCUAGUAAGCGUGAGUCAUCAGCUCGCGUUGAUUACGUCCCUGCCCUUUGUACACACCGCCCGUCGCUAAUACCGAUUGAAUGGAUA